GAUUGAACGCUGGCGGCAGGCCUAACACAUGCAAGUCGGACGGUAGCACAGAGAGCUUGCUCUUGGGUGACGAGUGGCGGACGGGUGAGUAAUGUCUGGGGAUCUGCCCGAUAGAGGGGGAUAACCACUGGAAACGGUGGCUAAUACCGCAUAACGUCGCAAGACCAAAGAGGGGGACCUUCGGGCCUCUCACUAUCGGAUACAGAACCCAGAUGGGAUUAGCUAGUAGGCGGGGUAAUGCACCUAGGCGACGAUCCCUAGCUGGUCUGAGAGGAUGACCAGCCACACUGGAACUGAGACACGGUCCAGACUCCUACGGGAGGCAGCAGUGGGGAAUAUUGCACAAUGGGCGCAAGCCUGAUGCAGCCAUGCCGCGUGUAUGAAGAAGGCCUUCGGGUUGUAAAGUACUUUCAGCGGGGAGGAAGGCGGUGAGGUUAAUAACCUUGCCGAUUGACGUUACCCGCAGAAGCCGAAGCACCGAACUCCGUGCCAGCAGCCGCGGUAAUACGGAGGGUGCAAGCGUUAAUCGGAAUUACUGGGCGUAAAGCGCACGCAGGCGGUCUGUUAAGUCAGAUGUGAAAUCCCCGGGCUUAACCUGGGAACUGCAUUUGAAACUGGCAGGCUUGAGUCUCGUAGAGGGGGGUAGAAUUCCAGGUGUAGCGGUGAAAUGCGGCUUAGAGAUCUGGAGGAAUACCGGUGGCGAAGGCGGCCCCCUGGACGACUGACGCUCAGCGCGAAAGCGUGGGGAGCAAGAAACAGGAUUAGAUACCCU
rnacentral:rRNA from 1 species